CACAGGCGCUUGCUGUGACUGAAAACUCACUUAGUACAGAGAAGAUUGGCAUGGCCCCUACACAAGGAUGACACACACAUUGGCGAAGUGCUCCGUGUUUUC